rnacentral:tRNA from 8 species
GGUGAGGUGUCCGAGUGGCUGAAGGAGCACGCCUGGAAAGCGUGUAUAGGUUUAUCCCUAUCGAGGGUUCGAAUCCCUCCCUCACCGCCA